GCCCAGCAUGGUGGCACGUGCCUGUAGUUCCAGCUACUCGGGAGGCUGAGGUGGGAGGAUUGCUUGAGCCCAGGAGUUAUGGACUAUAGUGCACUAUGUCAAUCGGUGUCCGCACUAAGUUCGACAUCAAUAAGGUGGCCUCCCGGGAGCUGGGAACCACCAGCUUGCCUAAGGAGGCGUGAUCCGGCCCAGGUCGGAAACGGAGCAGGUCAAAACUCCCAUGCUGAUCAGUAGGGGGAUGGCGCCUGUGAAUAGCCACUGCACUCCAGCUUGGGCAACACAGUGAGAUCCCGACUCA
rnacentral:SRP_RNA from 1 species